rnacentral:rRNA from 1 species
UGGGGAAUAUUGCACAAUGGGCGAAAGCCUGAUGCAGCGACGCCGCGUGAGGGAUGACGGCCUUCGGGUUGUAAACCUCUUUCAGCAGGGACGAAGCGAGAGUGACGGUACCUGCAGAAGAAGCACCGGCCAACUACGUGCCAGCAGCCGCGGUAAUACGUAGGGUGCGAGCGUUGUCCGGAAUUACUGGGCGUAAAGAGCUCGUAGGCGGUUUGUCGCGUCGUCUGUGAAAACCAGCAGCUCAACUGCUGGCUUGCAGGCGAUACGGGCAGACUUGAGUACUGCAGGGGAGACUGGAAUUCCUGGUGUAGCGGUGAAAUGCGCAGAUAUCAGGAGGAACACCGGUGGCGAAGGCGGGUCUCUGGGCAGUAACUGACGCUGAGGAGCGAAAGCGUGGGUAGCGAACA